rnacentral:rRNA from 1 species
CAGUAGCCGCGGUAAUACGGAGGGUGCAAGCGUUAAUCGGAAUUACUGGGCGUAAAGCGCACGCAGGCGGUUUGUUAAGUCAGAUGUGAAAUCCCCGAGCUUAACUUGGGAACUGCAUUUGAAACUGGCAAGCUAGAGUCUUGUAGAGGGGGGUAGAAUUCCAGGUGUAGCGGUGAAAUGCGUAGAGAUCUGGAGGAAUACCGGUGGUGAAGGCGGCCCCCUGGACAAAGACUGACGCUCAGGUGCGAAAGCGUGGGGAGCAAACAGGAUUAGAUACCCGUGUAGUCCCUGUCUCUUAUAC